rnacentral:rRNA from 1 species
UCAAGUAAUUAAGUGCAUGUGGUGGAUGCCUUGGCAGUCAGAGGCGAUGAAAGACGUGAUAGCCUGCGAAAAGCUCCGGGGAGGCGGCAAAUAUCCUUUGAUCCGGAGAUGUCUGAAUGGGGGAACCCACCUACUUUAAGGUAGGUAUUGCAACAUGAAUACAUAGUGUUGCAAGGCGAACGAGGGGAAGUGAAACAUCUCAGUACCCUUAGGAAAAGAAAUCAAUUGAGAUUCCCUCAGUAGCGGCGAGCGAACGGGGAUCAGCCCAUUAAGUUAUGUGUGUUUUAGUGGAACGCUCUGGGAAGGGCGAACGUAGAGGGUGAUAUUCCCGUACACGAAAGGGCACACAUAAUGAUGACGAGUAGGGCGAGGCACGUGAAACCUUGUCUGAAUAUGGGGGGACCAUCCUCCAAGGCUAAAUACUCCUGACUGACCGAUAGUGAACCAGUACCGUGAGGGAAAGGCGAAAAGAACCCCUGUGAGGGGAGUGAAAUAGAUCCUGAAACCGCAUGCAUACAAGCAGUGGGAGCACCUUCGUGGUGUGACUGCGUACCUUUUGUAUAAUGGGUCAGCGACUUAUAUUCAGUAGCGAGGUUAACCGUAUAGGGGAGCCGUAGAGAAAUCGAGUCUUAAUAGGGCGUUUAGUUGCUGGGUAUAGACCCGAAACCAGGCGAUCUAUCCAUGAGCAGGUUGAAGGUUGGGUAACACUAACUGGAGGACCGAACCCACUGUCGUUGAAAAGCCAGGGGAUGACUUGUGGAUAGGGGUGAAAGGCUAAUCAAGCCUGGUGAUAGCUGGUUCUCCCCGAAAGCUAUUUAGGUAGCGCCUCGGACGAAUACCAUAGGGGGUAGAGCACUGUUUCGGCUAGGGGGUCAUCCCGACUUACCAAACCGAUGCAAACUCCGAAUACCUAUGAGUACUAUCCGGGAGACAGACUGCGGGUGCUAACGUCCGUAGUCAAGAGGAAAACAAUCCAGACCGCCAGCUAAGGCCCCAAAAUCAUAGUUAAGUGGGAAACGAUGUGGGAAGGCAUAGACAGCUAGGAGGUUGGCUUAGAAGCAGCCACCCUUUAAAGAAAGCGUAAUAGCUCACUAGUCGAGUCGGCCUGCGCGGAAGAUGUAACGGGGCUAAAACUAUGUGCCGAAGCUGCGGAUGUAUACUUUGUAUACGUGGUAGGGGAGCGUUCUGUAAGCCGAUGAAGGUGUGUUGAGAAGCAUGCUGGAGGUAUCAGAAGUGCGAAUGCUGACGUGAGUAACGACAAAACGGGUGAAAAACCCGUUCGCCGAAAGACCAAGGGUUCCAGUCCAACGUUAAUCGGGGCUGGGUGAGUCGACCCCUAAGGCGAGGCCGAAAGGCGUAGUCGAUGGGAAAAUGGUUAAUAUUCCAUUACUUCUGUGUAAUGCGAUGAGAGGACGGAGAAGGCUAAAUCAGCCUGGCGUUGGUUGUCCAGGUGAAAGGAUGUAGGCAUGUAUCUUAGGCAAAUCCGGGGUACUCUAUGCUGAGAUCUGAUAGCAAGCUGUACUUGUACAGCGAAGUGGUUGAUGCCAUGCUUCCAGGAAAAGUCUCUAAGCUUCAGUUACACAGGAAUCGUACCCGAAACCGACACAGGUGGUCAGGUCGAGUAGACCAAGGCGCUUGAGAGAACUCUGCUGAAGGAACUAGGCAAAAUGGUACCGUAACUUCGGGAGAAGGUACGCUGUUGUUGGUGAUGGAACUCGCUUCCUGAGCUGACGACAGCCGCAGAAACCAGGCCGCUGCAACUGUUUAUUAAAAACAUAGCACUCUGCAAACACGAAAGUGGACGUAUAGGGUGUGAUGCCUGCCCGGUGCUGGAAGGUUAAUUGAUGGGGUUAGCGUAAGCGAAGCUCUUGAUCGAAGCCCCAGUAAACGGCGGCCGUAACUAUAACGGUCCUAAGGUAGCGAAAUUCCUUGUCGGGUAAGUUCCGACCUGCACGAAUGGCAUAAUGAUGGCGGCGCUGUCUCCAGCAGAGGCUCAGUGAAAUCGAAAUCGCUGUGAAGAUGCAGUGUACCCGCGGCUAGACGGAAAGACCCCGUGAACCUUUACUGCAGCUUGACACUGAACUUUGACCUUACUUGUGUAGGAUAGGUGGGAGGCUUUGAAGCUGGAACGCUAGUUCCAGUGGAGCCGUCCUUGAAAUACCACCCUGGUAAUGUUGAGGUUCUAACUCUGUCCCGUGAUCCGGGACGAGGACCGUGUCUGGUGGGUAGUUUGACUGGGGCGGUCUCCUCCUAAAGAGUAACGGAGGAGUACGAAGGUGCGCUCAGCGUGGUCGGAAAUCACGCGUAGAGUAUAAAGGCAAAAGCGCGCUUAACUGCGAGACCCACAAGUCGAGCAGGUACGAAAGUAGGUCUUAGUGAUCCGGUGGUUCUGUAUGGAAGGGCCAUCGCUCAACGGAUAAAAGGUACUCUGGGGAUAACAGGCUGAUACCGCCCAAGAGUUCAUAUCGACGGCGGUGUUUGGCACCUCGAUGUCGGCUCAUCUCAUCCUGGGGCUGAAGCAGGUCCCAAGGGUAUGGCUGUUCGCCAUUUAAAGAGGUACGCGAGCUGGGUUUAGAACGUCGUGAGACAGUUCGGUCCCUAUCUACCGUGGGCGCUGGAAAUUUGAGAGGAUCUGCUCCUAGUACGAGAGGACCAGAGUGGACGAACCUCUGGUGUACCGGUUGUGACGCCAGUCGCAUCGCCGGGUAGCUAUGUUCGGAAGGGAUAACCGCUGAAAGCAUCUAAGCGGGAAGCCUACCUCAAGAUAAGAUUUCCCUAGGACUUUAUGUCCUCUAAAGAGCCGUUCGAGACUAGGACGUUGAUAGGUUGGAUGUGGAAGCAUAGUGAUAUGUGAAGCUGACCAAUACUAAUUGCUCGUGAGGCUUGACUAU